rnacentral:tRNA from 1 species
GGAAGCGCUUGGUGGCUGGUGCCGCCCCCGGUCUUCAAAACCGGUGGGGGGCGUGAUGAACGUCCUCGGCGCGUUCGAUUCGCGUGCGCUUCCGCCA